UUUUGGUUUCCGAAAGAGACUUUUUUUUAAUUUUAUUAAUUCAUUUUCUCCAUCUUUAUUAUUAUCUUUGAUUCUCAUAAUUUAAUUUCCUCUUUUAUUUUUUCAUCAUUUGAUUUUAACUUUACAAGUAUUUCCUUUUUUAAACUUUUUUAUUGUUCUUUUAAGUCUUUAGUUUCAGUCAUGUCCAGGUGUCCAAAAUCUAUUGGUCCUUUAAUCCAAAACCCUAGUUUUUAGCAGUAUAAAUAGCUGCAAUUACUGCU
rnacentral:lncRNA from 1 species